CAUGGGUGCACAGAGAGGGGUCACAAAGCACAUCCCCAUCCCCAUGCUGAGGGUUUUCAUGUUCUCUGCAGCAUCUCCUGACUCACAUGUAAAGCAAUGCCAGCGCUUAAUGUGUUAGCUGAGCUCUAAUUCUCUCCCUUUAAAUUUAAAAUGCUGCAUUUAGCCCCCAAAUUGUCAGUGCCACUUUAAACGUGCGUGUCUAAAUUAUCCCCUCUGUACUCCCAUCCCUAUAGCAGCAUUAUGCACAGCUCCAUCUGCUCCAGUAUUUCUCAGCUGUUUCCAUCCUCAAUGUAAUGGCCAGCUUAUGCACAGCUAACAACUUCCCAGCAGAGAAGUGAAAAAUUAAUCCAGAGCCUGCUCUGGUGGCUAAAGACAGGAUUCCUAAAUGAGCCUGAGAAUUACACAUGCAAAUCCCAAAGGCCUGCAAUUGGGAACAUCUGAGCAACAAAUUGUCCUUGCUAAAGAUGCUCUUGGAGCCAAGAAAGCCUACAGAUUUCAGGCCUGCUGUAAAUACUUUUAAAAUCACGAUCAGCCCCUGCCUGCACUGCUGCUGUUUGCCAGCUCUCCUCAUUCAGGGAUUUUUUAGGCUGCCCAGACUGACCCUCAAGGGCUGAGCCAGCAUCUCCCUGGCUCGGGGCAGAGCAGGGAGAGGAUUCCCAGGCCUGACCUUCCCGUCCUUCCUCCCUCAGCCCCAGAGCCUGGGCAGCAUCAGCAGCUCCAGCCACUGACCCAUCUGCCAGCACGGUCAGGCUCUGUCCCCCUGGCUGGACAGACACAUUUCUGCUGCACCUGUGCUGCCCAGCACUGUGAGCUGCAGAAUUGCUGCUCUGUGCAGGCAUUUAGGGAUCAGGUGCUGGGGCUGAUUUAGCUGUGGGCCAAAGCCUGCAACGUUUGGAGAACAAGCUGGUGGGGACUGGGGAGAGAUGACUUCUCUUGGCAGGGAGGUGACAUUCUGAUUUGACUCAUUCCUGCCUCACUAUGACUGUCUGACCAGUACCAUGGGGAUUCCUGGUGUGCAAGCAGCCCCUGGAUUCCUCCCACCUCACAUUUACACCCAUAUAUUCCCUUUCACAUCCCCCGUGAGGGAGGCUAACGUGAAAUCCGCACCCCGCUCCAAGGUGAUGCGGGUGGUUUAACUACCAAGGGGUUAAAUCCAGCUUGUGAUUCCCGUGGGCUGCCUGCUGCUGUGGGCAAAGCAAGCAGGAUUCCUCCUGUGACGUUCAGUGUGCUCCCAGAGCUGGUGGGCUCCGAGCUGCCAGCCACAGCUCACUGCAGCAGCAGCACAGAGCACUCGAGGGACGGCUCCGUGCCACAAGUGUCAGCCCUGGGCUCUCCCCAGUGAGCACUUUGGGAUGGGGAGGGAUGCAGGCAAGAGGAGCUGGAGGUCAGGAGAGCCCCUGGUGUCACACACCCAUCAAAGCAGGGCUGCUCCCGGCGUUCCAGGAUCUCCUGUGCAGCCCAAAAGCUGUUGUGGAAGGGCUCUGCUUUUGGGUUCUACCAGACCAAGUGAGGUUUGGUUGGGGCUUGGGCGAAUUCCCACUCGAGGAGAAGAACACCCACUGCUUUGAAAGGGCAGGGACAAGCUCUCCUGUAUUUUAAACACACGCCGAAGUCCUGUUAAGUUUCGGAGGGGCUGGGUUUUUAAAUAUGGAUUAUAAAAAUUAUAAUUUUUGGCUUGAUCCACUAUUUCCCAAGCAGGCCACGGCCCUGCCUCUCUCCCCCUUCCCACCCGCACGCGCCCUCCCCUCGGCAAU